rnacentral:rRNA from 1 species
UACGUAGGGGGCAAGCGUUGUUCGGAAUUACUGGGCGUAAAGGGCGCGUAGGCGGCACGGCAAGUCAGGAGUGAAAGCCCUGGGCCUCAACCCGGGAACUGGCUUUGAAACUGCCGAGCUAGAGUGCGGAAGGGGCAACUGGAAUUCCCAGUGUAGCGGUGGAAAUGACGUAGAUAUUGGGAAGAACACCUGAGGCGAAGGCGGGUUGCUGGGCCGACACUGACGCUGAGGCGCGAAAGCCAGGGAGCGAACGGG